UACAGAGGUGGCAAGCGUUGUUCGGAAUUACUGGGCGUAAAGGGCGCGUAGGCGGCCUUCUAAGUCAGACGUGAAAUCCCCAGGCUUAACUUGGGAACUGCGUCUGAUACUGGGAGGCUUGAGUGCGGGAGAGGGAUGUGGAAUUCCAGGUGUAGCGGUGAAAUGCGUAGAUAUCUGGAGGAACACCGGUGGCGAAGGCGGCAUCCUGGACCGACACUGACGCUGAGGCGCGAAAGCUAGGGGAGCGAACGGG
rnacentral:rRNA from 1 species